ACGAACGCUGGCGGCAUGCCUAAUACAUGCAAGUCGAACGCUGAAGCACUCUGCUUGCAGAGUGCGGAUGAGUGGCGAAACGGGUGAGUAACACGUGGGGAAUCUGCCUAAGAUGGGGGAUAACAUUCGGAAACGGAUGCUAAUACCGCAUAUAUUCUUGAACCGCAUGGUUCUGGAAAGAAAGACGGCUUUGCUGUCGCUUUUAGAUGAUCCCGCGGCGUAUUAGUUAGUUGGUGGGGUAAUGGCCUACCAAGACCAUGAUACGUAGCCGACCUGAGAGGGUGAUCGGCCACACUGGGACUGAGACACGGCCCAGACUCCUACGGGAGGCAGCAGUAGGGAAUCUUCCACAAUGGGUGCAAACCCGAUGGAGCAAUGCCGCGUGAAUGAAGAAGGUCUUCGGAUCGUAAAGUUCUGUUAUUAGAGAAGAACAAGUCGAGGAGUAACUGUCUCGACUUUGACGGUACCUAACCAGAAAGUCACGGCUAACUACGUG
rnacentral:rRNA from 1 species